GGAUGGAUAUGCUGAAAUGGUAGACAGGCUGAUUUUAGAAAUCAGUGGGUAGUUCCGUAUGGGUUCGAGUCCCAUUAUCCCCA
rnacentral:tRNA from 2 species